GAUGAACGCUGACAGAAUGCUUAACACAUGCAAGUCUACUUGAACUUCGGUUUGGGUGGCGGACGGGUGAGUAACGCGUAAAGAACUUACCUCACAGUUAGGGACAACAUUUGGAAACGAAUGCUAAUACCUGAUAUUAUGAUUUUAGGGCAUCCUAAGAUUAUGAAAGCUAUAUGCGCUGUGAGAGAGCUUUGCGUCCCAUUAGCUAGUUGGAGAGGUAACGGCUCACCAAGGCGAUGAUGGGUAGCCGGCCUGAGAGGGUGAACGGCCACAAGGGGACUGAGACACGGCCCUUACUCCUACGGGAGGCAGCAGUGGGGAAUAUUGGACAAUGGACCAAAAGUCUGAUCCAGCAAUUCUGUGUGCACGAUGACGUUUUUCGGAAUGUAAAGUGCUUUCAGUUGGGAAGAAAAAAAUGGCGGGUCCAACAGAAGAAGUGACGGCUAAAUACGUGC
rnacentral:rRNA from 1 species